GACGAACGCUGGCGGCGUGCCUAAUACAUGCAAGUCGAACGAGAGCGACCGGUGCUUGCACUGGUCAAUCUAGUGGCGAACGGGUGAGUAACACGUGGGUAACCUGCCCAUCAGAGGGGGAUAACAUUCGGAAACGGAUGCUAAAACCGCAUAGGUCUUCGAACCGCAUGGUUUGAAGAGGAAAAGAGGCGCAAGCUUCUGCUGAUGGAUGGACCCGCGGUGCAUUAGCUAGUUGGUGAGGUAACGGCUCACCAAGGCCGUGAUGCAUAGCCGACCUGAGAGGGUGAUCGGCCACAUUGGGACUGAGACACGGCCCAAACUCCUACGGGAGGCAGCAGUAGGGAAUCUUCCGCAAAGGACGCAAGUCUGACGGAGCAACGCCGCGUGAGUGAAGAAGGUGUUCGGAUCGUAAAACUCUGUUGUUAGAGAAGAACAAGUGCUAGAGUAACUGUUAGCGCCUUGACGGUAUCUAACCAGAAAGCCACGGCUAACUACGUG
rnacentral:rRNA from 1 species